CAGUAGCCGCGGGAAUACGUAGGUGGCAAGCGUUGUCCGGAAUUAUUGGGCGUAAAGCGCGCGCAGGCGGAUCAGUCAGUCUGUCUUAAAAGUUCGGGGCUUAACCCCGUGAUGGGAUGGAAACUGCUGAUCUAGAGUAUCGGAGAGGAAAGUGGAAUUCCUAGUGUAGCGGUGAAAUGCGUAGAUAUUAGGAAGAACACCAGUGGCGAAGGCGACUUUCUGGACGAAAACUGACGCUGAGGCGCGAAAGCCAGGGGAGCGAACGGGAUUAGAUACCCCUGUAGUCCCUGUCUCUUAUACA
rnacentral:rRNA from 1 species